CCCAAAAUGCUAAAAUUCUCCUCUUCUUCAGCCUGAUUUUCAUCUUUCUCAACUAGGUUCUCUUCCCUCUGAUCAAGUAGUUGCAACGGAAUCGGAUUGGAAGAUGAGUGCGAGAGAAACCCAAGCGAUAGACCCGAUUGAGCUUGCGAUAAAUCCAUUUCAAAACUUCAAAGAACAAAAGAUUAAAAAAAAGGGAAUUUCAAACUCAAGGAUAUGCGUAGAAACAACAGAAACAGCGACAACAACGCCUAAAGGAACUACAGCUGAAAUAACGAAUCCUUGGCCUGUUACUGUUAGACUUUGAAGACGCAGAAGCUGAAGCUUCCAUGAAAUUUCAAGCCAAACUCG
rnacentral:misc_RNA from 1 species